CAGCCGCCGCGGUAAUACGAAGGGACCUAGCGUAGUCGGAAUUACUGGGCGUAAAGCGCGCGUAGGCCGUUGAGUUAGUUAAUGUGAAAUCCCAAAGCUUAACUUUGGAACUGCAAUUAAACUGCUCGACUAGAGUUUGAUAGAGGAAAGCGGAUACAUAGUGUAGAGGUGAAAUUCGUAGAUAUUAUGUAGACACCAGUUGCGAAGGCCGCUUUCUUGAUCACACUGACGCUGAGGCGCGAAAGUAUGGGUAGCAAAGAGGAUUAGAUACCCUCGUAGUCCAUACCAUAAACGAUGAUUGCUAGAUGUUGGAAAUUUUAUUUUCAGUAUCGCACGCUAACGCAUUAAGCAAUCCGCCUGGGGAGUACGACCGCAAGGUUAAAACUCAAAUGAAUUGACGG
rnacentral:rRNA from 1 species